CCUACGGGAGGCUGCAGUGGGGAAUAUUGCGCAAUGGGCGAAAGCCUGACGCAGCGACGCCGCGUGAGGGAUGAAGGUCUUCGGAUCGUAAACCUCUGUCAGCAGGGAAGAAAGGUCACUGUGCUAAUCAGCAGUGAAUUGACGGUACCUGCAAAGGAAGCCCCGGCUAACUCCGUGCCAGCAGCCGCGGUAAUACGGAGGGUGCGAGCGUUGAUCGGAAUUAAUGGGCGUAAAGCGCGCGUAGGCGGUAUGUAAAGUCAAGGGUGAAAUCCCCGGGCUCAACGUGGGAACUGCCUUUGAAACUGGCAAACUGGAGUGUGGGAGAGGAGAGUGGAAUUCCAGGUGUAGGGGUGAAAUGCGUAGAUAUCUGGAGGAACAUCAGUGGCGAAGGCGACUAUCUGGCACAUAACUGACGCUGAGGAUCGAAAGCGUGGGUAGCAAACAGGAUUAGAUACCCGGGUAGUC
rnacentral:rRNA from 1 species